rnacentral:rRNA from 1 species
GUACACUCCUGCGGGAGGCAGCAGUGGGGAAUUUUGGACAAUGGGCGAAAGCCUGAUCCAGCAAUGCCGCGUGUGUGAAGAAGGCCUUCGGGUUGUAAAGCACUUUUGUCCGGAAAGAAAUACUUGGCUCUAAUACAGUCGGGGGAUGACGGUACCGGAAGAAUAAGCACCGGCUAACUACGUGCCAGCAGCCGCGGUAAUACGUAGGGUGCGAGCGUUAAUCGGAAUUACUGGGCGUAAAGCGUGCGCAGGCGGUUUGCUAAGACCGAUGUGAAAUCCCCGGGCUCAACCUGGGAACUGCAUUGGUGACUGGCAGGCUAGAGUAUGGCAGAGGGGGGUAGAAUUCCACGUGUAGCAGUGAAAUGCGUAGAGAUGUGGAGGAAUACCGAUGGCGAAGGCAGCCCCCUGGGCCAAUACUGACGCUCAUGCACGAAAGCGUGGGGAGCAAACAGGAUUAGAAACCCGGGUAGUCCCAUGAU